CGCGCGCCCUCUGUUUUGCCUAAAUGGGUUCCAGGCCAUAGCCACCGACUCUCGCUUUGCCUUCUGGCCUCUCGGCAGUGCGCUUCAGCACCAUUGCGCCAGGUGACGCUGCUGAGAACAGCUGAGUGGCCGGCACUAGUGCAGCUGGAAGCCAAGGCCCAGAAUUCUCAGGAAUCUGCACUUUACCCAGGCGAAAAGCCCAAGGGCUCUCCCCACAGCUUCCCAACAUCCCUCUACAGAGUUUUUAAAUAUUAGACUUAUUAACCUGUAGAGAUGGAGAGAAUCAAAGAAAUCACAAGGUAUCUCUGAGGGAAAAAGAAGAGCACCAGCAGUAAAUCACUUAAGAGUAUUGAACCAGCAAGCCAGGGAUAGGAGAAUGGAAUGGAAACUGACAGGAUGACUGCAGAGGGUGGUACUGAGGGUGGAUGCGAACCACUACUUACUAUUAAUAUAUUGAGCCAAGCACACUAAUGGGGGCAUAACCAAAAUACUUAAUAGGGCACUCUUUUACCCACCAUGUGUUUUACAAUAUAGUUGCUAAAGGAUGUAUCACCCUACUGGUUCUAGAAGCUUCUGGAGCCAAGGAGCCAGAGCAUGAGAGCAUAAAAAUCCUGUCAAUUGAAGCCUUGGGCUCUACACUGCUAAGCCUGGCCCAGAGGCUGGAUUGCAAAUGCAGGUGCUAGUGUAAUGGAAUGGAUGUUUGUGUUCCCUUCAUAUUAUAUAUUGAAGCCUUAACCCCCAAUGUGAAGGUAUUUUGGAGGUAGGGCCUUUGGGAGGUAAUCAGGUUUAGAUGAGGUCAUGACCAUGGGAUCUCCAUGAUGAGAUCAGUGUCAUUAUAAGAAACAGAAGAAAGACGAAAGUGCUCUCUUUCUCUCCACCAUGCGAGGACAGAAGGAGAAUGUAGCAGUCUGCAAGCCAGGGAGAGAGCCCUCACCAAGGAGGUGAAUCCGCUGGCAGUUUGAUCUUGGACUUCUCAGCCUCU
rnacentral:lncRNA from 1 species